AUAUGCUUUAGCCGAGAAUUCCUAAAUGAGUUGAUUAUCAUUAGGAUAUGGCUUAUAUGUAUGAUAUAUGAUGACAUGUGUGUUGAGAAUUGUUUACUUGAAUGAUUAUAUGUUUUGAGUGUUGUUUAGUCUACGUAGAGUAGUAUACUCUCGAGACUUAUGGAAUGUGUUAUGAUUGAGUAAAUCAUAAAUAAAUUGGGUUUCUUUGAACCUAAUUUUCAUGUAUUGAUGAUGGCUAUAAUUUGAUUAUGUGCAUGUAAUGUGAUUGAUUGUUAUGUGCAUGCAAUGGAAUAGUGUAUAUGAAACGUAUAGAACAUGUGAGUUAUAGCCAGAUAUGACAUAGACGAAUGAAAUUGUUAUUAGAGCCUAAUACGUAAAGUAAGAAUGAGACGCGACUACGUAUACGAUAAAGACUUUGCGAACAUGAUACGUAUAUCAUGUUAUUAAGAACGCGUUUAGAUUUCUUUGUGCUUUAGAAUGGCUGAGCAAAGAAAUACGCGAGCGCGUGCAAGCGCACAACGAUUAAACGAGACUUUAGGAAAAGCCUUAGAUAAUGAAUGUGUACCAGUUCAACCGGCGGAUAGAGGCCGUGGACAAGGUAGAGGUCGAAAAGGACCUAGAGUAUAUCAAGCUGGGAAUGUGCAGGCACUGGGAAUGCCGCAACAACCCAAUAUUGAUAUAAAUCAUUUGGUAACAUAAGUUACUGAUUUGUGGAGUUGUGUGUUAAUAAUGGGGCAGUGGAUGCAACACCAGCAUCAACGAGAAGAGAGAAAUUUUGAUAGAGAUCUUGUGUUAGCAUACGUAAAACUGAACCCAAAGGAUUUUGAUGGAUCAAGUGAUGCGUUAGACUUUUUGGAAGAAGUCGAGCAAAAUGCUCAUAGACUUCAAGCUAACGAAAGACAGACAAUAUUGUUAAUGGAGAUGUCGAUGAAAGGUCCAGUCAAGGAUUGGUUUCGACAAGUAAUUGGACCAAUAAUGGGUCAUAUAACAUGGGCAUAGUUUGUGACCCGAUAUAAGGAUUUCUUCUUACCGUUUGCGGUAAUCGAAGGUAACCGGGACAAACUGUUAUCGUUAACUCGAGGUAACAGAUCUGUUCAGGAAUAUGUUACCGAGUUUAAUCGAUUGAGCAGAUUUGCUCCAGACUUGAUGACAGAUCGAGUCGGAGUAAACCCCAUGUUUGUGAAGGGAUUAUGACCUCAGUUUAUAGGACUGUUGAGUCAGAGAGACAGGAGUUUUGUGCAAGUUGUCGACGGUGUAAGACAACUGGAAAGGGCAUUAAUCCAAUUUGGUAAAAUUCCUGACCCCUCACAACUGAAUGAAGUUAGAGAUGAAUGUUUUGGCUAUGGAAACCAAACUUCAAGGCAAAUAAGAGAAUAGACGAUAAAAAUCUUUUGGAAUAAGUGAUUUUGCAGAGCCCUAUGUCUAUAGAAACUUACGAUGGCGCCAUUUUUAUAAAAACAAAUGUGUUUAAUGAAAAAGGAAUGUUUUAUGAACACAUGAUUGUGCCCGGAGACGAUUUAUGCCGGCAUUGCAUUGGCACGAAUAGAAUUGCAUCACUACAUUCAUAUUAUGUUCACUAUUAGGACAUGCAUCAUGUACAUUAUGUAUGUAAAAAAAAAAAAGAGGAAUGUCAUUGCAACUCUUGGUGAUGAGAGAAGUCAUCACACCGGUGCACAAUUAUGGCAUGAUUUUAUAAGUGAAAAAAAAAAGUGAUUUUGAACAGGAUAAGUUUUUAACAUAAGUACGCUGAGACAUUGGCUCUGUAAUGUAAAUAAAGGAAUAGGACAAGGAAAAUAUACCUUGUAAGGCCUAAAUAAGGAGAUAUAUUUAUAGAGUAAUGAACAAUAUGGUAUGAAAUAUUCUGAGACUUAAAUGGAAAAGUCUCCAAAGAAGUAUUGAUGAUGUAGGAAAGAAAAUGUUGGAGUGUAAGUGAUAUUAUAAUUCGAGGACGAAUUAUUUUAAGGAGGGGAGAAUGUAAUAACCCGAAUUUUUGGAGUUAUUAAAGUAAGCUAUAUGUCGUAAUUUGGACGAUCGGGAUUAUAAGAAGUGAUAUUUAAAUUCAAAUGGAGAAUUUAAAUAUUUAGAUAAGCCCAUAAAAAUAUUGGAAUCAUAAGAAUUUAUUAUGGAAAUUUUUGGAUAAGUAUAAUAAUAUGACAAUUUUGGAAUGACGAAUUUCCAAAAUUCAUAUCUUCCUAUUCCGACAUCAGAAUUCGAUGAUCUAUAUGUCAAAUCGAAGCUAUCGACGUCCUCUUCAAUUUUAUAAAUUUUAUUUUAUAAAAUUUGAAUGAGAAACAGUGCAGAAAUUUAAAGAACAAUGCAGCUCAAAUCGAACCGCUGGGUUCGUCAGGAUUUAGGUAACUAGGACUAAGGAAACGUAUUAUUUAAGUUCAAAUUGAUAAUUUAAAUAAUCGAGGAAGCUUAUUAAUAUAUUUGGAGUCCAAGGAAUAAAUUUGAGAAUUUUUGGACGAAAAAGUAUAUUUUAGCCGGACUGCAAUUGGACUGCAGAAUUAAUAAAAAAAAAUUAAUUAUAAAAUAAAAUAGACGUCCCGAGAUAAUAAUUUGGAAGUUAUUAUUCAUGAAAUAAUAUUUGGAAAUGUUUGAGAGAAUUAAAUAUCGAAAAUGAUAAAAGUCAAUUUUACCCUAAACUUCGAUUUAUUUACGAAAUUGCCACAAGGGCAAACUUGUAAUUUUGCCUAGACUAAUAAAUAUCCUAAGUCUUCUUCCCCACUUCAUUUCCAGCAAAUUUCUUUUACCUCCAUUGUUGAAUGCUCUCAACUCACCAUUUACCCUUAGCUAUAUUAUUCAUUUGUCAUUUCUCAAUAAUUCCUUAACGAAAAACGUUGGAAAUCACCCGCUAAUUACUAAUCUACAAUUGCAUGUAGGAUCAAGAUUCGACAAGUUGUCGAGCUAUCGAGUCGGAGGACCAAGGAAAUUAACGGAGUUGUUUAAAGGAGCAUUGACGGAGUAAUACCGUAGUUAAACGGUUUCUGAAAGCUGGUCCGAUUUUGAUGAAGGCUUCCGAACGUUUAUUUCUCGGAAGUCUACUUUGAUAAAAGACUGUAAAUAAGGUUUUAAGUUCUAGUUGUCCGCAGUAGACUAGUAUAGUCUUAUUGUAUUUAAAUGUUUUAAAGCACAUUUAAAACUCUGAUGUUUUAUCUCAUCAGUUAUUUAAUAAAUGUGUCAUACGUCUCUUUUAAAAGCGAAAAAUUUAUAGUGUUUUUCAGGCUUGCUACGGGUUUCGGAGCAACCACUCUCAUUCCCUAGCGCCGGUCUCGACUCGAGAUUUCGGGUCGUGACAAAGGUGGUAUCAGAGCAGUUGGUCCAGUUACCUCUGCUAAUAUGUGAAUUGAGUGCAGUUGGUCAGAGAUACCACUGCUAGUCUGUGUAGAUGUUGUGUGAACCUAGGAGUAAUGUACAAUGUCACUAAGUUAAGUUAGGAACUAUUGCGGAUUAUAGGAUUUCCAGUCAUGUCUUUUAAACGUUUUCAUCGUUUUCAUCGGUUUUUCAAAUGAUUUUCAAAACGUCCUGUCCUAUGUGUGGUGUCAGGAUAUGAGUUAGAUGUGUGUGUUAGCACAAUAUAUGUUUGUGGUUACUCGAGUAAGCAUUACGCUUUCGAGUAUAUAGUCUGCAAGGAGUUGUAUACUCUCGAGACUCAUAUUAUCUAUGAAAUGUGUGUUUAUUAUGAGUAUGAUUGAUUGAUUGAUGUGGUAUGUUUAUAGCGUAAUCACUGAAAGAAGUGAUAUGUUUUCGAAUGUGAUAAACUCUGCGUAGAGAGAUAUACUCACGAGACUUGUGUUAUAUGCUUUAGCCGAGAAUUCCUAAAUGAGUUGAUUAUCAUUAGGAUAUGGCUUAUAUGUAUGAUAUAUGAUGACAUGUGUGUUGAGAAUUGUUUACUUGAAUGAUUAUAUGUUUUGAGUGUUGUUUAGUCUACGUAGAGUAGUAUACUCUCGAGACUUAUGGAAUGUGUUAUGAUUGAGUAAAUCAUAAAUAAAUUGGGUUUCUUUGAACCUAAUUUUCAUGUAUUGAUGAUGGCUAUAAUUUGAUUAUGUGCAUGUAAUGUGAUUGAUUGUUAUGUGCAUGCAAUGGAAUAGUGCAUAUGAAACGUAUAGAACAUGUGAGUUAUAGCCAGAUAUGACAUAGACGAAUGAAAUUGUUAUUAGAGCCUAAUACGUAAAGUAAGAAUGAGACGCGACUACGUAUACGAUAAAGACUUUGCGAACAUGAUACGUAUAUCAUGUUAUUAAGAACGCGUUUAGAUUUCUUUGUGCUUUAGAAUGGCUGAGCAAAGAAAUACGCGAGCGCGUGCAAGCGCACAACGAUUAAACGAGACUUUAGGAAAAGCCUUAGAUAAUGAAUGUGUACCAGUUCAACCGGCGGAUAGAGGCCGUGGACAAGGUAGAGGUCGAAAAGGACCUAGAGUAUAUCAAGCUGGGAAUGUGCGGGCACUGGGAAUGCCGCAACAACCCAAUAUUGAUAUAAAUCAUUUGGUAACAUAAGUUACUGAUUUGUGGAGUUGUGUGUUAAUAAUGGGGCAGUGGAUGCAACACCAGCAUCAACGAGAAGAGAGAAAUUUUGAUAGAGAUCUUGUGUUAGCAUACGUAAAACUGAACCCAAAGGAUUUUGAUGGAUCAAGUGAUGCGUUAGACUUUUUGGAAGAAGUCGAGCAAAAUGCUCAUAGACUUCAAGCUAACGAAAGACAGACAAUAUUGUUAAUGGAGAUGUCGAUGAAAGGUCCAGUCAAGGAUUGGUUUCGACAAGUAAUUGGACCAAUAAUGGGUCAUAUAACAUGGGCAUAGUUUGUGACCCGAUAUAAGGAUUUCUUCUUACCGUUUGCGGUAAUCGAAGGUAACCGGGACAAACUGUUAUCGUUAACUCGAGGUAACAGAUCUGUUCAGGAAUAUGUUACCGAGUUUAAUCGAUUGAGCAGAUUUGCUCCAGACUUGAUGACAGAUCGAGUCGGAGUAAACCCCAUGUUUGUGAAGGGAUUAUGACCUCAGUUUAUAGGACUGUUGAGUCAGAGAGACAGGAGUUUUGUGCAAGUUGUCGACGGUGUAAGACAACUGGAAAGGGCAUUAAUCCAAUUUGGUAAAAUUCCUGACCCCUCACAACUGAAUGAAGUUAGAGAUGAAUGUUUUGGCUAUGGAAACCAAACUUCAAGGCAAAUAAGAGAAUAGACGAUAAAAAUCUUUUGGAAUAAGUGAUUUUGCAGAGCCCUAUGUCUAUAGAAACUUACGAUGGCGCCAUUUUUAUAAAAACAAAUGUGUUUAAUGAAAAAGGAAUGUUUUAUGAACACAUGAUUGUGCCCGGAGACGAUUUAUGCCGGCAUUGCAUUGGCACGAAUAGAAUUGCAUCACUACAUUCAUAUUAUGUUCACUAUUAGGACAUGCAUCAUGUACAUUAUGUAUGUAAAAAAAAAAAAAGAGGAAUGUCAUUGCAACUCUUGGUGAUGAGAGAAGUCAUCACACCGGUGCACAAUUAUGGCAUGAUUUUAUAAGUGAAAAAAAAAGUGAUUUUGAACAGGAUAAGUUUUUAACAUAAGUACGCUGAGACAUUGGCUCUGUAAUGUAAAUAAAGGAAUAGGACAAGGAAAAUAUACCUUGUAAGGCCUAAAUAAGGAGAUAUAUUUAUAGAGUAAUGAACAAUAUGGUAUGAAAUAUUCUGAGACUUAAAUGGAAAAGUCUCCAAAGAAGUAUUGAUGAUGUAGGAAAGAAAAUGUUGGAGUGUAAGUGAUAUUAUAAUUCGAGGACGAAUUAUUUUAAGGAGGGGAGAAUGUAAUAACCCGAAUUUUUGGAGUUAUUAAAGUAAGCUAUAUGUCGUAAUUUGGACGAUCGGGAUUAUAAGAAGUGAUAUUUAAAUUCAAAUGGAGAAUUUAAAUAUUUAGAUAAGCCCAUAAAAAUAUUGGAAUCAUAAGAAUUUAUUAUGGAAAUUUUUGGAUAAGUAUAAUAAUAUGACAAUUUUGGAAUGACGAAUUUCCAAAAUUCAUAUCUUCCUAUUCCGACAUCAGAAUUCGAUGAUCUAUAUGUCAAAUCGAAGCUAUCGACGUCCUCUUCAAUUUUAUAAAUUUUAUUUUAUAAAAUUUGAAUGAGAAACAGUGCAGAAAUUUAAAGAACAAUGCAGCUCAAAUCGAACCGCUGGGUUCGUCAGGAUUUAGGUAACUAGGACUAAGGAAACGUAUUAUUUAAGUUCAAAUUGAUAAUUUAAAUAAUCGAGGAAGCUUAUUAAUAUAUUUGGAGUCCAAGGAAUAAAUUUGAGAAUUUUUGGACGAAAAAGUAUAUUUUAGCCGGACUGCAAUUGGACUGCAGAAUUAAUAAAAAAAAAUUAAUUAUAAAAUAAAAUAGACGUCCCGAGAUAAUAAUUUGGAAGUUAUUAUUCAUGAAAUAAUAUUUGGAAAUGUUUGAGAGAAUUAAAUAUCGAAAAUGAUAAAAGUCAAUUUUACCCUAAACUUCGAUUUAUUUACGAAAUUGCCACAAGGGCAAACUUGUAAUUUUGCCUAGACUAAUAAAUAUCCUAAGUCUUCUUCCCCACUUCAUUUCCAGCAAAUUUCUUUUACCUCCAUUGUUGAAUGCUCUCAACUCACCAUUUACCCUUAGCUAUAUUAUUCAUUUGUCAUUUCUCAAUAAUUCCUUAACGAAAAACGUUGGAAAUCACCCGCUAAUUACUAAUCUACAAUUGCAUGUAGGAUCAAGGAAAGCUGGUCCGAUUUUGAUGAAGGCUUCCGAACGUUUAUUUCUCGGAAGUCUACUUUGAUAAAAGACUGUAAAGAAGGUUUUAAGUUCUAGUUGUCCGCAGUAGACUAGUAUAGUCUUAUUGUAUUUAAAUGUUUUAAAGCACAUUUAAAACUCUGAUGUUUUAUCUCAUCAGUAUUUUAAUAAAUGUGUCAUACGUCUCUUUUAAAAGCGAAAAAUUUAUAGUGUUUUUCAGGCUUGCUACGGGUUUCGGAGCAACCACUCCCAUUCCCUAGCGCCGGUCUCGACUCGAGAUUUCGGGUCGUGACAAAAUUCCACAAAAAUUCCCGUUUAUGCUAACGUUUUGUCGAUGAUGGUGAGGCUGAGUCAUGGAAAUCUAUGGAGGGUCUUCUUUACAGCCCAACAAAUUACGUUCCUUUGUCUCCUAUAAAUUUCCUACAGAACAACGAAGAUUUACAUCAAUCUCAACGUUUCUACUUAUUUUGCUUUUUUUUUUGUGAUGGUAUAGAUAAGAAAUGAAUUUUCUUUUCUGGAUAGUUGAUUAUCAAGUCAAAAGAUGAGUAAUUGUGGUAAUUGUUUCAUCUAGUUUGUUUUAGCUUUAGUUGUUUUGAUUUUGGAAUUAUGUGAAUUUUCGGCUCAAUGAUUACGAGGUCUUGUUUAGAUAGGAAUCCAAAUUGUAAAGGUUGCCUUUUGAACAGUAAUGGAUCUACAGUUCUGCUCACUAAAUGCAUGAAGAUCCCAAUUUGGCCACAUGUUUGACAUUCAAAUACCGAAGUUGUAUAUAUGCAAAACAAUAUAAAUUUUAAGUGUUGAUUUAUAAAUUUUUAUAUUAAUUGAA